rnacentral:rRNA from 1 species
UAGGGAAUCUUCCACAAUGGACGCAAGUCUGAUGGAGCAACGCCGCGUGAGUGAAGAAGGUUUUCGGACCGUAAAGCUCUGUUGUUGGUGAAGAAGGAUAGAGGUAGUAACUGGCCUUUAUUUGACGGUAAUCAACCAGAAAGUCACGGCUAACUACGUGCCAGCAGCCGCGGUAAUCGUAGGUGGCAAGCGUUGUCCGGAUUUAUUGGGCGUAAAGCGAGCGCAGGCGGAAGAAUAAGUCUGAUGUGAAAGCCCUCGGCUUAACCGAGGAAUUGCAUCGGAAACUGUUUUCUUGAGUGCAGAAGAGGAGAGUAGAACUCCAUGUGUAGCGGUGGAAUGCGUGGAUAUAUGGAAGAAUACCAGUGGCGAAGGCGGCUCUCUGGUCUGCAACUGACGCUGAGGCUCGAAAGCAUGGGUAGCGAACAGGAUUAGAUACCCUGGUAGUCCAUGCCGUAAACGAUGAGUGCUAAGUGUUGGGAGGCUUCCGCCUCUCAGUGCUGCAGCUAACGCAUUAAGCACUCCGCCUGGGGGAGUACGACCGCAAGGUUGAAAC